UUUUUUUUUGGUUCAUGUAUAGGUGACUGCACUCCUCACAAGGCUGAUAGGGUCAGUCCUUUUCAGCUGUGGCAUGCAUUGAGCAUGUGUGUAGUAACAGCAGUGAGUAAACACAUACUAGUUGGUAUAGUGGAACCUCUGUAUUUCUGUCACAGGAAACUUCUUUUAGAGGAAAGACCUCGUAACUGAACAUUCUGGACUAUUUUUUGACUCUCCAUAGUAUUUUGUGGCUCACAGGAACUUUACAUUUCUGUCAGCCUUUCAGAAUGUCCAGGUUACACCUCCCACUAGUAAAAUUUGUGAAGUAAACACUAGUUUUUUUUGAAAGACAAACAUGGACUGAGAGAUUUCCAGUUUGGCUCCCUUGGGAUAAGGUGCUCCUCUGUGUUUGGUGCUUCCAUUGGUAGUUUGGAUAUAAGUCCAUAUACAGUGGUCAGGGAGGGAGACAGGAUUUGAAACAUGUAUAUUUGUUUGGACAUUGGGUAUUGAUAAUACAUCAAAACCUUGCUUGAGGGUUCAUUGGUACAAAGGAACACACUCGUCUCAUGUGUUCACUCCCUACUUACCCAUUGCUCCUGUAACAGUGAAAUGUAUCGAGUGGGCUGAGGGUGAGAGUGGGGUGCCUUGUUUUUACUUAAAGGAAGAAAAAACCCACCAGCAAAUCUAGCUUGUGGUAAUUGCGCAGUGUUUCCCAGUGAAGGUGAAGUUUAUGGAUGUGAGUUUUAUACCCUGUAUUUCCUUCAGUUCCAUAUGCUGAAAAACACUUGCUAAGUUUUCAUACAGUUGCAGUAACACUACCUCCAUAUGUGGGUUUAGAAAGCACGUGUUGGAGAAGUGGUCAACGUAGUGCUGGAUUGCAAUAGUGCUAAUGCAGCUGAUGGCGAUCCUACUGGUUUUGUGUGUUUUAAUGUUGGAAAGAGCCAGUUAGAAACUCUUUGUUUGCAAGAAUUAAGUUUCUUAAACUACAUCUGAUGAAUUUUUGUUCUUUGUAACACUGGAGACUUUCUUCUGUUGAAGUUACAAUGUUUAUAAUUGGUGUCUUGCUCUGUCAAUGUACGGAUUGUAUCUUAAGCCUUGUAUUUAAUGCUUUAAUGUGUUCUGUAAAAUCUUCUCUUGAAAUGUCAACACCUUGUCCAUGACACAGUGUCAAUGCUUAAUGCAUAUGUAGACUGUUAAUACUUUUGGUUUGACCUGAUGAUUGCUCUUGGAGCAUUUUCUCCCACUUGGUGUGCUAUCUUUUGUGUGUGGUACUUACUCAGGAAAUAACCUCUGGAACAUCUGUGUAUGCCAGACGCAAAGGAGAUACUUCUUCAGACGUUAUGCUGGACUUCAAAACGCAACAAAUGAAACCAGUGACGUUUGCUAAAUCUUUUCUCCCCAUUAUUGCAAAUAUCUGUCAGUUAAAUAUAUAAGGGACCUUAAGGGCUUAGAGAGACUUUGAAAACAAAUUGUAUGUACAGGAUCUUUCUCAUGGCUCACUCUUUUUGAGAAGGUUUAUGGGCUUUAUGGCUGGUGUGAGACACACGACCCACUCCUGUUCUCUCUAUGGAAUAGUAGGUGCUCGGACAGGAGCCAAAAAAAGUCAAACAAUCCAGAGAAAACCUUCCCUUCUCCCCUUUCUGAUGGCGAGAGUGAGAACUCAUGAAAAGUCCUUGAGAAUGUUCCUUCCUAAACUUUUCCCCCCAGUAAUGCAAGCGGGUAAAAUGGUAAAUGCAGCAGUUUGGUGACAUCCAAACCCCACCUGUUGUCAGACACACCCACUUCUUGCGUCUCAGCACUGGGCAGGCCUUUUCCUUUAUUUGUGUAUAUUUUUGUGCAACAGCUGCUAUAGGACACGGGUGUAACACUUUCAGGCAUGUGUUGGGUGUCUUUGGGGAAGAGAUUUGUGGGUUUGUAACAAUGUCUAAAAAAACAAUUUCUUUUCCUCAGAUUUGUGAACAAAUUGAUGUUAGCUCACAGUUUUGCAUCUCUUAACCUGAUUUCAUAUAUGUUACGCGAAGGUUUGUUCUUGAAAGACAGUGCUAGUUCUUUGCAGUGUCUUCACAUGAUCUUUGGUGGGGAGAGUUGAUAAAAAUUUCAUUCUGCAGAAGUUACUAACUUAAUAUUUAAUGUUGGUUGAAAGGUAGUUUUACAGAUCGUACUCUUCCCUCUUUAUGUAGUGGCUUUCAAAGCCUUGUGUUGAUCUUGGUUGUGCCCAGUGCUUUGCCUAGUGUAUGGGGGAAAUGUUGCAGAACUUGAAUAAGCCGUGACAUCUUAGAUGGUGUAGAUGAUGAUUAUGUGCAUGCUGAACAAGAACUUCUUCUAUAUGCCCUUCUGCUGCAACAGAGUAAUAAAACUGGUAGGUGGCAGCAGCAGCAGAAGAAACUCAUGUGACUGACCUGAGAAACCUCCAGUACUGGGAGAAAUGGAUUGCAAAAUGCUAACUCAACUAAGGGGGACGGAAGAGAAAGGCAGAGUCCCUGAACUGCCCCUUUGAAUGGAAUUUAAUGCUUGAGAAAGAUGCUGGACCAACAGUUGCAGAGAUUGAACUCCUCUACCCACAGGAAAGGUAACAGGAAUUAGAAUUUGUCUUUAGAACAGUCUUCACUGCAUCUCUCUCUUUGACCUGGAAAGGCCUUUUCCAAAGUCAGGAGUUUGAUACCCAUGGCUCAGUCCUUGGUGCAUGUGUAAUGUUAUCCAGGAAAAUAGAUAGGUGCUAGUUAGAGAUCUUUUUCUAAUGAUGUCUGCUCGAAUUUCUGAUAUUACUGUUUUGUGAAAAAAGACUAACUUCUUCAAUGAUUUGUUUCUCUAGGUUUUUCUACACCACAGGAGAUCUUCUCUUCUCUUGUACGGGGACACUUGCCUCUUGAUAUAACACCCCCUUCACAAUGAAGUGAAGAAAGGAUAGACCAGCGGCAGUGUCGAAUGGGGUGAUGUCCACACUUGGGGUUAAUAGUCGUAAUAAACACUGUCCUCCUAACAUGGAGAAAUGAAUAAAACAAUUUAAUUCUUAA